rnacentral:ncRNA from 1 species
UCUAAACGGUAGUAUGAAAUUGGAAUUUCAGGGAAGUUGGGUGAAAUGCCCGCGCUGUCCCGCAACUGUAACGUGGAGCAUCGCACAGCAAUGCCACGGAUGAAAAUCUCAUCUGGAAGGUUGUGCGAAGGUGAUGAAACGGAGCCAGGAUAUCUGAUUUGACCUAAAAAAUAGU